GUUUUUUGUUGUAGGCACAUAGUGGAUGCCUUGGCAUGCUAAGCCGAUGAAGGACGUGUGAGGCUGCGUUAUGCCUCGGGGAGUUGCCAACUAAGCGUUGAUCCGAGGAUGUCCGAAUGGGGUAACCUGGUGCCAGUUGUGUGGUGCUACCCGCAGAUGAAUUGAUAGUCUGUGUGGGGGUGACGCGGGGAAGUGAAACAUCUUAGUACCCGUAGGAAGAGAAAAUAAUAAUGAUUCUGCUAGUAGUGGCGAGCGAACGUGGAUGAUGGCUAAACUGUAUGCGUGUGAUACCUGGCAGGGGUUGCGUGUGCGGGGUUGUGGGAUGCGACUUGUCGGAACUGCCAUUUCGGCGCGUGUGUGAUUGUGGUAGUGGAACUGGCCUGGGAUGGUCGACCGGAGAAGGUGAGAGUCCUGUACGUGAAGCUGUGGUUGCGUGCGUGUGUUGUUGUCCCGAGUAGCAGCGGGCUCGUGGAAUCUGUUGUGAAUCUGCCGGGACCACCCGGUAAGCCUGAAUACUUAGUGUGACCGAUAGUGGAUAGUACCGUGAGGGAAUGGUGAAAAGUACCCCGGGAGGGGAGUGAAAGAGUUCCUGAAACUGUGUGUUGUCAAUCCGUCAGAGCAUGUUGUGUGUGAUGGCGUGCCUUUUGAAGAAUGAGCCUGCGAGUCAGCGGCAUGUCGCGAGGUUAACCCGUGUGGGGUAGUCGUAGCGAAAGCGAAUACUAAUUGUGUGUGUAGUGGCAUGUCUUGGACCCGAAGCGGGGUGAUCUACCCAUGGCCAGUGUGAAGCAGCUGUAAGAGGUUGUGGAGGCGCGAACCCACUUAGGUUGAAAACUGAGGGGAUGAGUUGUGGGUAGGGGUGAAAGGCUAAUCAAACUCCGUGAUAGCUGGUUCUCCCCGAAAUGCAUUUAGGUGCAGCGUUGUGUGAGCUUGCCGGAGGUAGAGCUACUGGUUGGUUGAGCGGGACUAUUAUCUUAGCAAUGUCAGCCAAACUCCGAAUGCUGGUGAAGUGUUGCAUGGCAGUGAGACUGUGGGGGAUAAGCUUCAUAGUCGAGAGGGAAACAGCCCAGAUCGCCGGUUAAGGCCCCUAAGGGUGUGCUAAGUGGAAAAGGAUGUGGGGUCGCGAUGACAGCCAGGAGGUUGGCUUAGAAGCAGCCAUCCUUGAAAGAGUGCGUAAUAGCUCACUGGUCGAGUGGUUCUGCGCCGAUAAUGUAGUGGGGCUUAAGUACACCGCCGAAGCCGCGGCAGGCACGCAUUUUUUGUGUGUGUUUGGGUAGGGGAGCGUCGUGCAUGGUGUGAAGCGGUUCCGUGAGGGGUUGUGGACUGUGUGCGAGUGAGAAUGCAGGCAUGAGUAACGAGUGUGAGGUGAGAAUCCUUACCGCUGGAUGACUAAGGGUUCCUGGGUUAAGUUCGUCUUCCCAGGGUGAGUCGGGUCCUAAGGCGAGGCCGACAGGCGUAGUCGAUGGUGAACGGGUUGAUAUUCCCGUACCCGUAUAUGUGCGACCAAGGGCGAGGCAGUGAUACUAACCACCCAUAAUCAUGUGGCUGUUGUUUUUUGAUGAUGGUUGUGUGUGCGUGCGUGGGGCCUGAUCUGUAGUAGUUCAGUGAUGGGGUAACACAGUGAGGUAGCCGCGCCAUCUGUUGGAUGGUGGUGUAAGCGUGUGGCACGGGGAUUUGUGAAAUGCGGUCCCUUUUUUGUGUGAGGCGUGAUGCGUAGCCCUGUUGUGGGGUGAUGGUGGUGAUCCUGUGCUGUCGAGAAAAGCCUCUAGCGAUGUGUGUGUACGGCCCGUACCCGAAACCGACACAGGUGGUCAGGUAGAGAAUACUGAGGCGGUCGGGUGAACUGUGGUUAAGGAAUUCGGCAAAUUGCCCCCGUAACUUCGGGAGAAGGGGGACCAUGGCUGGUGCUGCUGCUGUGCGUGGUGGUUGCUGGUUGUGGUCGCAGAGAAUAGAGGGAAGCGACUGUUUAUCAAAAACAUAGGUCUGUGCGAAGACGGUUAAGUUGAUGUAUACGGACUGACGCCUGCCCGGUGCUGGAAGGUUAAGAGGACCCGUUAGGCAUUUGUUUGCCGAAGCGGAGAAUUUAAGCCCCAGUAAACGGCGGUGGUAACUAUAACCAUCCUAAGGUAGCGAAAUUCCUUGUCGGGUAAGUUCCGACCUGCACGAAUGGCGUAACGACUUCCCUGCUGUCUCAACCACAGGCCCGGUGAAAUUGCAGUACGAGUAAAGAUGCUCGUUUCGCGCGGCAGGACGAAAAGACCCCGGGACCUUCACUAUAGCUUGGUAUUGGUGUUCGAUGCGGUUUGUGUAGGAUAGGUGGGAGACGUUGAUGCAGUCACGCUAGUGGUUGUGGAGUCGUUGUUGAAAUACCACUCUGGUCGUAUUGGAUGUCUAACCUUGGCCCAUGAUCUGGGUUGGGGACAGUGCCUGGUGGGUAGUUUAACUGGGGCGGUUGCCUCCUAAAGAGUAACGGAGGCGCCCAAAGGUUUCCUCAGCUUGGUUGGUAAUCAGGUGGUGAGUGUAAGUGCACAAGGGAGCUUGACUGUGAGAGGGACUUCUCGAGCAGGGACGAAAGUCGGGACUAGUGAUCCGGCACCUACUUGUGGAUGUGGUGUCGCUCAACGGAUAAAAGGUACCCCGGGGAUAACAGGCUGAUCUUCCCCAAGAGUUCAUAUCGACGGGAUGGUUUGGCACCUCGAUGUCGGCUCGUCGCAUCCUGGGGCUGGAGUAGGUCCCAAGGGUUGGGCUGUUCGCCCAUUAAAGCGGCACGCGAGCUGGGUUCAGAACGUCGUGAGACAGUUCGGUCUCUAUCCGCCGCGCGCGUUGAAACUUGAAGAAGGCUGUCCCUAGUACGAGAGGACCGGGACGGACGUACCUCUGGUGUGCCAGUUGUUCCGCCAGGAGCAUGGCUGGUUGGCUACGUACGGGAGGGAUAACCGCUGAAAGCAUCUAAGCGGGAAGCCUGUUUUAAGAUGAGGUUUCUGUUGAGGUUCCCUAGAGAUGAUGGGGUUGAUAGGCCAGACCUGGAAGGUAGGUAACUACUGGAGGUGACUGGUACUAAUAUACCGAUAAGAAAAACACU
rnacentral:rRNA from 1 species